GCGUAGAAAAACCUGGCGUGGCGAAAACGAUCUGGUCCGGUUGCCAAGGUUGGGGUCGUGGGUUCGAAUCCCAUCGCCCGCUCCA
rnacentral:tRNA from 1 species